CUAUUGAAUUAUUUCUGUCGAUGUCUGUUUUUUUUUAUGUAUGUAUGCAUGUAUGUACUAUGUAUGCAUCUAUCUAUCUGUCUAUGUAUCUAUCUAUCUAUCUAUCUAUUUAUGUCUAAUCUAUCACUCUAUCUACCUAUCUAUCUAUCUAUCUAUCUGUGGAGCCACCAUUGUAUACCUGUACAUUUUUCUACCUGUACCUGUAACCAUAUCACCUCUGUACCUGUAUACCUCCAUUGCUGCCUGCCUGACGUUUAACCGUGUAACUCGCUCCACACAUUUUUAUUUCGUUGCAUAUAUUUUUUAGAGUGUUUGACCUCAACAAUUUGUACAAUUUAGGUCUUAUUUUGUUACCGGUUUUCAUUGUGGCUGUGACCUGUUUCUGCAAUGUUAACUUUUUAUCCUUAUCUUGUUUCGAGUUUCAUUGAAUCUUUCCACCUCUUUCUCCAAUUUUAUAUUUUAGCUUGCCGUUCCCCAUUCAGGCUCUUUUUGAGAGUUAUUUCCACAAUGUUAACGUUUUAUUUGGUUUUACGCAAUUUUUGAGGACUGACCGCUUUCCACCAAUUUCGUUUUUUUUUAUUUUUUAUGCAUUUCAUCACUUGCUUCAGUAAUCACCAGUCCCAUUCCUGUUAUUUAUUUGUUUAUUUAUUUAUUUUUUUUAUUUAUUUAUCUUUUUUGUUCAUUUAUUUAUAUGCUUUCAUUUAUUUAUCUUUUUUUCUGGAUGAGAACACAGUGAAAGAUUUCGUAAACAAGUAGACAUGUGUGUGUGAAAUGAAUACAACCUCGAGAAAUUGUCACAGAGUGGAGUCCCUGAAAGAAGUAACAUUAUUAACUUUUAGCAGCUUUUCAUCAUAUAAAAAGUGUGUGUGUGUGUGUGUGUGUGUGUGUGUGUGUGUGUGUGUGUGUGUGUGUGUGUGUGUGUGUGUGUGUGUAUUUUUAUGAAAGGUGUCGUCUUCUCAAUACCAGUAUGGACUUUUUCUUAUGUGAGGAUCGUGAAGCAAAGGUCAGACUGGACAGAUGUGGAGUCAGAGGUGCGGUCAAAAACAUUCCAGCGCCGCUUCCUUCCUUUUAUUUGUCUGCGUUGCCAGUACAUUCCAGGUGCGCGGCAGGUGUCUUAUUGCCUCUUCUUUCAUGCAGGUCGGCGCCGCUAACACCUGGAGGCUCAAUUCAUCACGUCCCGCUGGUGGGCGCCGGGUCAUGCUCUGCUGCGCGAACUAAGAACCAGCUUUCAUUAUCUCUUUACCACCACCCCCACCACCACCACCACCACCACCGCCAUACUCCCACGGCAAUAGACGAGACCUCAAGAAACAAAGACAUUCCUCAGCGUCAUUCCUCAGGUAAAGACAACACAAUUCCGACAGGAGAAGGAAGACUGACGCCGCUGAACGUGUGGUGAACUACGAGUAUAAUGUAACAAGACGAGACUACGAACCAAUUGACUGACUGAUUAUUAACUUUUGGUGCUGCAGUUCCGUCAUAUUAUCGUGACAUGGCAUUCUCAUUAAUUCGCUGAUCGGUCUCGGGUUUUGUCAAGGUAGAAAACGGGUGCCUUCUCCAUCGCAUCGGCCUGUGAUUGGUGGGAAAGUAAUGACAUAUCAGCCCUCCUCUCCCCCACACACGCCAUAACAUACUAAUAGCCUUCAGUCACAGGAUAAAUGUGGUGACCUUACAUUAAUAAGGUCUACAUAGCGUAAGAUGGAGCAAGAGCAAAAGAAGGACUAAAUAAGGAAGAGAAGAAAAAAACAAAAUAAUAAAGAAGGAAGAAGAAUAUAAGGAAGAAGGAAGAAGAAAAGAAAGAAAACAAAAUAAGAAAAAUAAAGAAAAUAAAAACAAAAGGAAGAAGAAAGAAGAAAAGAUAUACAAAAUAUGGAAGAAAAAGAAAAAAAGAUAAAACAAAGUAAUGAAGAAGAAAGAAGAAAAGAAAAACAAAAUUGGGACGAAGGAAAAAAAAAUAUAAAAAAAUAAAGAAAAAAAAGAAAAGGAAAACAAAAUAAGAAAGAAGGAAGAAAAAAAAGAAGUACAAAAUAAGGAAUAAGGAAGACGAAAGAAGAAAUGGAGAAGACGGGUGAAACAAGAAGAAAACAAGUCGGUCAGCACACCUGGAACAAGGUUAUAAACACGGGGAUGUCAUGGACGAGGGAACCGUGGAGAAGGAAAGAGGGAACUAAAACAACAAACACGCAGGCAGAUCACUAUAACAGGAAAAGAUUAACGUGGACGCCAUACAGGAUAAGACGGAGAAAGCGAUGAAAAGUUAUUUAUAUUCUCAGUGUUUUCCUUGCACUGCCUUCUCCUGGGCAGGUUCAAACGUUGUUUUAUUAUUAACAUUCUUGAUUUUAUGUUGUCCAACCUUUCUUUAUCUGUUCUUGUAACCAAUCUUUCGUCAAUCUUUUAAUCUUUUUUUUCACUUAUUUUAUAGGAAUAUAUUAGUUAAAGAAGAUUAGGCAAAUUUAUGGAUGGGGAUGAUAGGUAGACAUAGGUAGAUAGGUAUCGUACAGGCACUGCCACAUGUAGACCUGAUGGCUUCUUGCAAUUCCCAUUGUUUUCUUAUGUUUUUAUGUUCUUAUUCAAUGUAGUGCGGCACCAUAUGACCUCAGUUUUGCGACUCUUCCAGUUCAGUCCACUCAGGAGCAGGAAAGUUUUUUUUUUUUUUUUUAUUCAAGGGAAGAAGGAUAGCCAUCACAUCAUUGAAGGAGAUUCUGUCACGCAUUCCUCCCUCCACUCAUCACGUGACACUCUCCCUCCCUCUUACUCUCAUUCACUCACUCGAGACUCGGUAGUAGGAUUCGUAUUUUUUUUUUUUUUUUUCCAUGUAAUAAACUUGAUUUCAUAACUUCAUUUUGCUAUGAAAGAAAUACAUGUUUAAACAGCGCCGCUUCAUCAAACGGAUCGCGUAGUUCAUGCAAAUGUAAUAAAGGUAAUUAGCACUUUGUAUUACAGAAUUGACUAUGGGAAUAAUACUAAUCUUUAUAC